CACAGACGCUGGGAGCCUGGGUGGCUCUGCUGGUUGAGCCUCUGAUGCUUGAUUUCCGCUCAGGUCAUGAUCUCAGGGACGUGGGAUAGAGCCC